AGUCUUGGAAUUUUUAUUUUGAAAAUAAAACUAAAAGAAGACUUAAAGCAUU
rnacentral:tRNA from 1 species